rnacentral:lncRNA from 1 species
UCUGAUAGUACCAAGGUGUGACAGCCUGAUUUUUGGCCCUUUCUUUUUCUUUUGUUUUUCUGAGGUUUUUGCUUGAGUUUUCUUUUUACGUGGCUUUGUGGUCUGGAAACUGAAGAAGAUGCCCUCUUCUUUGUUUCCAGAGUGGCUUGUCAUUCCCAAACCCUUCCCUAGACCCUGUCAUUUUCAUCCUAGCCCAAAUCCCAAUAUUCUUUUUAUUGGGAAUAUUCCUUUUCUAUUAAAGGAAUAACUCAAAUUGCCCUAGGUUGUGAAGCAACCUUUAUUCCCAUCACUCCUAAAAUUCCCAAAUAAUUCUCAUAAAUUGUUUGGGUCAUAUCUUUCUCAAAUAUGGCAAAAUAUUUCAUUUAUCAUGUUUAUCAUCAUGCUCAAAUAAUUCAUUUCCUAUUCUGCCCUAAAUGGCACAUUGUGAAGCAAGUGCUAUUUUCCUUUUCCCAAUUGACCUCAAACUCCUUGGACACCUUUUCAUGUCCAUAUCAUUGCCACAUGCCAAAAUGCAACCUCAUUUGCCUAGUAAUUAUUUAAUUAUGAUUUUGCAAAGUUUCUAUCCAAAAAGAAGCUUUGUGAAGUAGGUGCAAGCUAGGCAUAUCCAAAUGAGUUGCCAUUUUGCAUGAUCGCCGGAAAGAUCACUGUGGUAUCGAGGAUACCGAGUUGUUGGAUAUUCGUGAUGUUGUGCGAGAAUCGUGGGUAAAGAUCAAGCUCCUUGUGGUCAUUUGAUGAUUACUACGGUAUUGUUUAUACCAAGCUUGAUUUGAUACUGAGAUGAUCGUGUAAUGUCCGAGGUUGGUAAGUGAUGCAUGUGAUGGUUACAAAGUAACCCGAGCAGAAUAAAUGAUGCAUGUAGUGUCAUCAUGUUGCAUGCUAGUAUCAUCAGAUUUAUAUGUUCUUGCCAUGAUCAUAUUGUUCUAGCAGUAUUAUGUUCAUGUUGUUCAUGUUAUGUUAUCCUGAUGAUCUUUUGAUAAUUCCUUCUUAACCUGUAAUUCCAUGCUGUUGUUUGUCUUGAAUGCUUCUGGUUAAUUGUGAGCUUGCAAGUACAUUCAAUGUACUGACCUGGCGUGUCAUGCCAGCUUGCAGGUCAUGCUUGGAUUGCUUGCUUGUUUGGUGUUGUUCCUGUGUUGCGAGCUAGGAUAAGCGUUCCAGCCAGAGUCCCUGCGGAGUGGAGUUCACCACCGUCGUCGUUGUUCCGCUGCUAGAGUUAUUCCGCUGCUUCGAGUUGUUCUGCUGCUUGCAUAGAGCAACUGAGGAUGGUGUAGUGUCACCAUGCUGAUGUUAUUCAUUGUAAUAUCGGAGACCUUGUAUUCAUAUUCAUGUAAUAAUAGGAAGCUGGUUUGUUCUAUGCUAAGCAGUGCCGUAUUCCAGAAGACUUCUCCUCGAUCUCUGGGCCGGAAUACAGGGCGUUCCGGUUUUCUCUGAGCCGGGGUGCCAUAGGCUUGGUAUCAGAGCAGGUCUGGCUGUAGGAUGCCUUAGCUCGCGCGAAUGUUAGAAAGCGGUAGUAUAGACCCCAGUUGGUUUGUUGCACUUGAUUGUUGCAUUUGUUUGUCGCAUAGCAUGCAUAUAGAUUAUUAUUUUGUCACUAACGGUUAAUCUUGUGAGUGUAGACGACAUCGUUUUCGGUCCACCGCAUGCACCCUCCUUCUUAGCAUGUCUGCUCUUUGAUGUUCGGCGUCAUAUCUGUCCCAGCAGAGUGAUGCCCUGGUACCCAGAGUUCCAGACACCAUUUGCAGGAGUUAUUCUCAGGCAUCGCGUAGAUUUUUCCGCCACCCACCCAUAUUAUUUCGGUGAUUGACUUGUUUCUAUCCCGAAUCAUGCCAUCCAUCUCGUCCCUCUGGCAACCCUUACUGAUCUUGGUUAUCAGAAAAGGGCAAUGCCAGCGAGCCUUGUUUUUCCACCGAUACCCUACCCAGUCAUUCUAUUCUUUGGACGUGUACGAAUCCCUUUCGUACGCUUGAUGAUGAUGUGGCCGUGACAUUUGUGUCUCGCUACUUGAUCGUCAAGUCCAUCCUCACCUGUGUAUCCAUCCAGAUCCAGCCACUGUUCAGCCAGUGCUUGGUGUAGCUUCGGUUACGCCAACUCCUUCCACACUUGGAUAUAAUUUUCGUGCACACCGCCACAGCAUAUUAGACCGUAAUACCGGUGUUUCUGCGCGAUUUGUGUGCUUAGGUGUGCAUGCAUACUAUGGUGUGAGUAGCAGUAAUAUGUGAUGAUUGCUUGAUUAAUUAUAUUAGUAGUAUGCUUGUGUGCUUUUGUUUCAGUCGUUUCUUUUGUUUCUUUCUUUGGGCCUUCGGUGUUACAAAUUUUUCCCCUAUUAAAGUUGCUCGUCAGCCGACACCGGACCCUAAGAGUCAGCAAGAAAUGCCUAUAUUUGGAAACUCAGCUAAACAGAAUGGAAUUGUCAGCAGACUACAGUGAAAUUGGAAAUAGCUCAUUUGAAUACAAAAGAAAUCCUGGAUGGAAUGUCAGUAUAAAGUUUGCAUUAACAUGCACUCCUCACAACAGUAUGGAAUUCUCAGCCGACUGCAUUCAGAUUGGGCGAUAUCUGAUCAUGUUACUGGGUGUCAAGUCUCCCUCAGCGUGCACUCCUCAUAGCAGAAAUGAUCAAAUCAGCAAGAAGAUAAAUUGUGUGCAAGGUUGACAGAAUAUUAUCAAAUGUAUGGCUCAGAUACAAGUUUAUUUUUUCCGUUGAGGAUGAUUUUGGAACCCGAUGUACCUGGAAGCAAGCAAAAAUAUGGCAUGUACUCAGAAAGGAGGAUAGUCCUGCAAAACCACAUUUCAUACAAGAAAUCAAUAACAAAAUUAUUAAGAUGGUUAUAUAUGUGGAAAUCCGUCCGCAUAUCACAAUAAGAAGCUUCUGGUGUAAGCAACCCAAUCGUCCCACGCAAGAUACCUGAGAAGCUUCCAAGGCAAGAUUCAUCUAUCUUCCUUAGUACGAUACAUGGAUGAUUUCCCGUACAAGGUACUCUGCCUUCUUCAGUAAGCAACCGCAAAAGCUUCCGGCAUAAGGUACUGAGUCUUUCCCCAGCAAAGUCUUUAAGGGGGUAAGCUUUUGAAGCACGAUAUCCAGUCUUCUUCAGCAAGCUGUCCGAUGAAAGUUUUGAGCACAAGCCAGCCAAUCUUCCUCAGUAAGACUUUGGUACAAGAUAGUACGUUGUGAAUUGACAUCAUAUGGCAGUGCAUCCCAAGAAUCAGAUCCGCAACAUUUUGGUCCGAAGCAAGAAUCAGUCAGAAUACACGUCUGUCUCGGGAAUCAGAUUCUCAUAUAUAUGCGGUGGGCAUACCACCAAGAUCUUACAAGUCACUCGGAUGAGGAUCUGACAACCACGUGAGGAUGGUUAAGAGAAGAAAUCCAGUAUACACCGCAGUGUGACAAAGGAUUAUGAGGAUUGACGACAUCAAUGAGCUCAAUACAAGUACCCGUGAACCUGGAAAAUGAUCCUGAUGAGCCCUAGUCCCCCUUUUUUCUCCAAUGACGGCACCACGCCUGUGAUCUAAGCUGUUUUUAGCUAUCCGGGGUGGAUGCCGAUUUUUAUUUCUCUCUUCAACGACUGUCACGAGUUCUGAGCUGCUUUUCGGCCGUCUCGUACAACUGUUGAGUUUCUUUUUGUGACAGUAGCCCUAUAGCUGCUUUUUGGCUAUUUUAGGGAGCUGCCACCUUCUUCUUAUCAACCCGGUCUCAUGUUCUGAGCUACUUUUCGGUCGUCCUGAGCCGUGGUUGAGUUAUUUCAGUAAUGUCCCAGAUCUGAGUUGUAAAGACCGUUCUGGUGGCUACUGAUUUAUUUGCCGAUUUCUUGCAAAGGUUCGGAUGAUCAUUUUCCUGCGGUCAUAACUUGAGGGGUGUUGAACCUGCCAUUUAAUAGGGCACCCUGUCAGAAAAAUGAGGAUAAGCUACGAUUGCCGAAAAAUUGCACCGACAGUACCUAUGGUGAUACGAAGAAGCAAUAUGACCCAACUCUUUCAGCCAAGGAUCCAGACCAAGAAAACAAUAAUGAAGGAGCAAGACCUGUGAUGCACGUAUCAAAAUUGUUGCAAGACCCGCGAGGUGCAAAACCACCGUCAGUCAAGUCUGCAGAUAUUAUCAUACAGGUCAAACUCUUAUGCUAGCCACGACAGGCGACAAACAAAUAUUUGGUACGGAUCCGAUACUCAAGACAGUGGAACCAGUUAAGAUGAUUCAGAAACUUCCGCGAUAAGCCAGAAUCUGUCAGGAAAGUGGUUAUGACCCAACUCACUGUUUGGGACCCGAAGGACCUGUAUUUAGUGGAGAAACCCAAUGCAAGGAGUUAGAGCUUGGGUGUCCACUAGAAAAAUCUGAUCACCAAUUCAUGAAAGAUUCUCAGUGCCGGAUGACACACCCAGCGGAAAUCACUCUUGGAUUUGUGAGACCGACAUAUAUUUCAGUCGUGAGAAUCAAUCACAGUCAGCUAAGUCAGCAGAUCCAAAAAUAAAUUGGAGCAUGUAUAAGCAUGAGCAAGCAAGGUAAGAUCUGUCAGAAUAUGGAUAUAUUAAAGGAAACCACCCCAGGGCCAGUCAAAUAAAAAUUUAGUGGGAACAAAAAUAAGAAAAAGGAUACCCGAGUUGGAAACGGUUUCCUUAAGUCAGUAUCUUCAUACUUUUUCCCCGAGCAACCAAAUCUCGAGGAUGAGAUUUUUUUAAGGGGGUAAGGUUUGUGACAGCCUGAUUUUUGGCCCUUUCUUUUUCUUUUGUUUUUCUGAGGUUGUUGCUUGAGUUUUCUUUUUCCGUGGCUUUGUGGUCUGGAAACUGAAGAAGAUGCCCUCUUCUUUGUUUCCAGAGUGGCUUGUCAUUCCCAAACCCUUCCCUAGACCCUGUCAUUUUCAUCCUAGCCCAAAUCCCAAUAUUCUUUUUAUUGGGAAUAUUCCUUUUCUAUUAAAGGAAUAACUCAAAUUGCCCUAGGUUGUGAAGCAACCUUUAUUCCCAUCACUCCUAAAAUUCCCAAAUAAUUCUCAUAAAUUGUUUGGGUCAUAUCUUUCUCAAAUAUGGCAAAAUAUUUCAUUUGUCAUGUUUAUCAUCAUGCUCAAAUAAUUCAUUUCCUAUUCUGCCCUAAAUGGCACAUUGUGAAGCAAGUGCUAUUUUCCUUUUCCCAAUUGACCUCAAACUCCUUGGACACCUUUUCCUGUCCAUAGCAUUGCCACAUGCCAAAAUGCAACCUCAUUUGCCUAGUAAUAAUUUAAUUAUGAUUUUCCAAAGUUUCUAUCUAGAAAGAAGCUUUGGGAAGUAGGUGCAAGCUAGGCGACGACAGCUCGGCCUCCCCUCCCCGCGGCUAUAUAAGCC